AUGUACAUAAGAACAGACCUGCUGGAUCAGGCACAAGGCCCAUCCAGUCCAGCAUCCUGUUUCACACAGUGGCCCACCAGAUGCUUCUGGGGAACCCACAGGCAAGAGCUGUCUACCUGGAGCUCUUUCCUGCUGCUUCCCCAGCCUUGCCCUCUCAACGCCACUGGGAUCUGACCAGCCUGGACCUUUCUCAUCUCUACUGCCCCCUGAAGGGAACGAAAGUCCCAAAGGAGUGAUGCCACGCCCUUCUCCAGACUCCAUAGGGCCACCCAAGCAACCAGUCACAGGAGAAAACCACUUUGUAUCCAGAGUGGCACUCAUACUUCAGUGUAAGGAGAAACAAUUUCCCCAGCCAUCUCCUCAUCACUGCAGUCUCCAGAGUUGCCAGAAAGAAGUUCUUUCCCAGGGCCAAGGGACCCUUGGCAACAAUGUGAGAUGCUGCAUGGGUAGCUGCCGAGAAGAUGGCAUUCAAAGAAAACAGGCAGAGACAUGAAGGAGCUUUAUGCUGGCAGAAUGCUAGUCUGGAUACCAUCCUAUCACAUCAAAGAGGCAGAGUUAAAAUGAAUUUUGAGGGAGAUUCUCAAAGGAUGUGCCUAGCUUAAAUAUGUUUAUAUAAUUACUAACUAUGCCCGUUGUUGGAUUUGAGAACUGUUUGGACAUACAGAACAAGCAGGAUGUUCUGUGGAUCCUAACCUAUGUGUGCAAGAAUUGAU